GAAAUGCGAUAAGUAGUGUGAAUUGCAGAAUUCAGUGAAUCAUCGAAUCUUUGAACGCACAUUGCGCCCUUUGGUAUUCCUUAGGGCAUGCCUGUUCGAGCGUCAUUUCAACCCUCAAGCACAGCUUGGUGAUGGGCGCCCGUCCCGCCCCCCCUCGGGGGGUCGCGCGGACCCGCCUCAAAUGCAUUGGCGGCCGGUUCCUUGGCUUCGAGCGCAGCAGAAACGCGGACUCGGGGCCUCGGGGCCGAUCCCCCAGAAGCUUACCCCCCCAUUUUGACCUCGGAUCAGGUAGGGAUACCCGCUGAACUUAA
rnacentral:misc_RNA from 1 species